UCCCAUUGGGUAUUUGCACCUAUACAGUUUGAUGUUAUGGUUAGAUCGAUGGUAGAGGAGCCCAUUAAGUUAUUGUGGCAGAUGAUGUUUUAAUAUUGUGUAAAUAUGUAAUUUGUUAUUUUAAUAUUUCGCAGGUAUUUGUCAGAUAUUGUUGUCUGCCAAAUAGUAUUUAUUCUAUUAGUUUUCUCAGUCAGGUACCCUUUAUCUGAUUGGCUAAUAGCACUGCAUGCUUUUCACGUGCACACACUACAUGAACAGCAGACAUGUUUGACGGGUUUUGACAGGCGACAGAUCAGAAUACAUUAUAGGUUUUCACACUCUUGUUGACCACCGGCAUUGUUUACGCUCGUGUACCACAUACAGGGUAUGACAUAGUUAGCUAGUAAUCAAGCAGUUAUUUCAAUUAAUUAUUAAUCUUAAACUUCAUUAUAACAUAAUUGUAAUAUUUAAUAUAGUAAGUAUUUUUUUAUUCUGACAACAUUCCACAGUAAUUUAUUUUAAGUCAAUUAGGUUAAUGUUUUCACUAAAUCUCAACCAUUUGUUAUUCUUGUAAUUACCUCCCCUUGGAAUUGAUUAUCCCGAUAUCUAUCAUAUACAUGUAGGUGUGGACCAAAAGGUUAUUCAGGUUUAGUUUAAUCAAACAGAUUGUUUGAUUAGGAAGAUAUUAUAGUUUAGUAGAUGUUACUUAUAACCGUGACAUUAAUGGGAUACGAAUUGAAAUGUUAAUAUAUAUUUUUUUUAAUAUUGAUGACCUGUGAUGGACAUAUUUUUAUGAUGUUGUGAUUGACAUGUAUGAUCGAACUAUUUUUAUGACGAUGAUUUUUAUGACGCAUACAUGUAAUUAUUUAUAAUGAACGCCUGUUAUAUAUUGUAUAUUUUAUUCUUCCAGGGCGUUGUUUGCAAUGACAUAAUGAACUUUAUGAAGUAAAUCAUUUCCAAACGU